CCAAUAGCGUAUAUUAAAGUUGUUGCAGUUAAAAAGCUCGUAGUUGAAUUUCGAGACCGGUCUACUGGUCGUGCUUUUGUACGUACUGGUUUUAUCGGUUUCUCCUUUCUGACGAACUAUAAUGCCAUUAAUUUGGUGUUAUGGGGAAUCAGGACUGUUACUUUGAAAAAAUUAGAGUGUUUAAAGCAGGCUCACGCUUGAAUACAUUAGCAUGGAAUAACGGAAUAGGACGUUUGAUUCUAUUUUGUUGGUUUCUAGGAUCGACGUAAUGAUUAAUAGGGAUAGUUGGGGGCAUUAGUAUUCAAUUGUCAGAGGUGAGAUUCUUGGAUUUAUUGAAGACUAACUACUGCGAAAGCAUUUGCCAAGGAUGUUUUCAUUAAUCAAGAACGAAAGUUAGGGGAUCGAAGACGAUCAGAUACCGUCGUAGUCUUAACCAUAAACUAUGCCGACUAGGGAUCGGAUGAUGUUAAUUUUUUAGUGACUCAUUCGGCGCCUUACG
rnacentral:rRNA from 1 species